GCCCAGACAUCACCUCCUGAGUCAGGCACUGCCAGGUAAUAUAGUCCCAUGAUCCCACACAAAGAAGAUUCCUGGCCGGGCACAAUGGCUCACACCUCUAAUGCCAGCACUUUGGGAGGCCGAGGAGGGAAGAUCACUUGAGCUCAAGAGUUCGAGACCAGCGUGGGCAACAUAGUGAGACACCAUUCCUACAAAAAUAAAAAAUAAAAAAAUUAGCCGGGUGGAGUGGUACGUGCCUAUAGUACACAGCUACAGCCAUGCAGGAGGCUAAGACUGGGGGAUUGCUUGAGCCCAGGAGUUUGAGGCUGCAGUGAGCUAUGAUCACACUGCUGCACUCCAACCUGGAUGACAGAGUGAGACCUUGUCUCUCUCUCUCUCUGUUUUUUGUUUGUUUGUUUGUUUGUUUGUUUGUUUUUUAGACAGAGUUUCGCUCUUGUUGCCCAGGCUGGAGUGCAAUGGCAUGACCUCGGCUUGCUGCAACUUUUGCCUCCUGGGUUCAAGUGAUUCUCCUGCCUCAGCCUCCCGAGUAGCUGGAAUUAGAGGCGCCCGCC
rnacentral:lncRNA from 10 species